rnacentral:rRNA from 1 species
GAUGAACGCUGGCGGCGUGCCUAAUACAUGCAAGUCGAGCGAACGGACGAGAAGCUUGCUUUUCUGAUGUUAGCGGCGGACGGGUGAGUAACACGUGGAUAACCUACCUAUAAGACUGGGAUAACUUCGGGAAACCGGAGCUAAUACCGGAUAAUAUUUUGAACCGCAUGGUUCAAAAGUGAAAGACGGUCUUGCUGUCACUUAUAGAUGGAUCCGCGCUGCAUUAGCUAGUUGGUAAGGUAACGGCUUACCAAGGCAACGAUGCAUAGCCGACCUGAGAGGGUGAUCGGCCACACUGGAACUGAGACACGGUCCAGACUCCUACGGGAGGCAGCAGUAGGGAAUCUUCCGCAAUGGGCGAAAGCCUGACGGAGCAACGCCGCGUGAGUGAUGAAGGUCUUCGGAUCGUAAAACUCUGUUAUUAGGGAAGAACAUAUGUGUAAGUAACUGUACACAUCUUGACGGUACCUAAUCAGAAAGCCACGGCUAGCUACGUG